rnacentral:rRNA from 1 species
GUCCAUGCCGUAAACGUUGGGAACUAGAUGUAGGGCCUGUUCCACGGGUUCUGUGUCGUAGCUAACGCAUUAAGUUCCCCGCCUGGGGAGUACGGCCGCAAGGCUAAAAACUCAAAGGAAUUGACGGGGGCCCGCACAAGCGGCGGAGCAUGCGGAUUAAUUCGAUGCAACGCGAAGAACCUUACCAAGGCUUGACAUAUUCGAGAACGCUGUAGAGAUACAGAACUCUUUGGACACUCGUUUACAGGUGGUGCAUGGUUGUCGU